UGCGAGAUACUUUCAACUGGUAGAAGGAUGGCCUCAUAAGCCGUUAUGUCUCGGUUCGACUCCGAGUCUCGCAACCA
rnacentral:tRNA from 1 species